GAGUGUGUAGGAGGAAUCGAUUUAUUUCAGUGGAAACAAGGAAACACUUGAUUUAAUUCGAUUUUAAA
rnacentral:ncRNA from 2 species